UGGCGGGUUCAAGUACAGCAACACACCGACUUCCUGGUUAGUCAAGCGUACAGCAGCCGCCAGUGUGUGUCUCUGCUUCUGACCGAGAAAACACGUCUACAGACCCGGCUGUGUUUGCGUCGUCGUGCGACGUCAAGAUGGAUGUAUCUCCGCAAAAUGGCGAAGUUGCGGCGAUUUCUGUGAAGCUGGAAAAGUCUUUGUCCAUGGAUACAGAUGACAAGAUGGAGCAAUACCAAAGAUUCCUGGUCCUCUCUCAUUUGCUGGUACCGUGAAACUUCUUGACUCUCAUGCCAGGGGUCUAAUUGACAAACUCCUUGGUCCAUUUUGUGAUGAGGGACGUUGGCAUGACCAGCAGUGUGUGUUUAACCAGCUCGUUAUCAUACAUACCAGAGAGAAACGAGAUCAUCUGGAUGGUUUUACCAAGCCCCAUGUCAUCUGCCAAGAUCCCUCCUUUCAGACGGACUCUGUGGAGACUGUACAUGAUGGCCACUCUGUUUCUCUGGUAGUCAUAAAGCUUGUCAUAUAAGUCUUUGAAAAGUAUCAAACUGCUGCCUUUUACAUUGACAAACUCUUCAUCAUAAUCUUCAUAGUCAUCCUGAGAAAUGAGUUCCUCAAUUUUCUUUAUCCUGCUUUAAUGUUUUUGACCUGAAGAACUUAAGAGCUCACUGUUUGUAUUUUUCACUCAUUUUAUAAUUCAUGUAAUUGGAUCACAACAUACCGAGUAAUCAAUCAAAUAUCAGGGCUGCUGAUACGAAGGUGUACUGCACAAAAUUUUUGUUUAUUUUGUAUCAGUCUUCCAAAUGUACUGCAAAACCAUGGAAUGUACAGAUAUUUGUAUUAUUGUACAUGAUAUUAUAUUUUUUCAAUAAAACAAAGAAAUGCACAUGUA